rnacentral:rRNA from 1 species
UACGGAGGUCUCAAGCGUUGUUCGGAUUCAUUGGGCGUAAAGGGUGCGUAGGCGGCGCGGUAAGUCGGGUGUGAAAUCUCGGAGCUUAACUCCGAAACUGCAUUCGAUACUGCCGUGCUUGAGGACUGGAGAGGAGACUGGAAUUUACGGUGUAGCGGUGAAAUGCGUAGAGAUCAUGAGGAAGACCAGUGGCGAAGGCGGGUCUCUGGACAGUUCCUGACACUGAGACACGAAGGCCAGGGGAGCAAACGGG